rnacentral:rRNA from 1 species
AUUGAACGCUGGCGGCAUGCCUUACACAUGCAAGUCGAACGGCAGCACGGGUGCUUGCACCUGGUGGCGAGUGGCGAACGGGUGAGUAAUACAUCGGAACGCACCUUAUCGUGGGGGAUAACGCAGCGAAAGCUGUGCUAAUACCGCAUACGCCCUGAGGGGGAAAGCGGGGGAUCGAAAGACCUCGCGCGAUCAGAGCGGCCGAUGCCUGAUUAGCUUGGUGGUGGGGUAAAAGCCCACCAAGGCGACGAUCAGUAGCUGGUCUGAGAGGACGGUCAGCCACACUGGGACUGAGACACAGCCCAGACUCCUACGGGAGGCAGCAGUGGGGAAUUUUGGACAAUGGGGGCAACCCUGAUCCCGCAAUGCCGCGUGAGUGAAGAAGGCCUUCGGGUUGUAAAGCUCUUUUGUCAGGGAAGAAACACCGGCUCUAACACAGUCCGGGAAUGACGGUACCUGAAGAAUAAGCACCGGCUAACUACGUGCCAGCCGCCGCCGUAA